CUUGGUAGACAGAUUAUCAAC
rnacentral:miRNA from 1 species